AUUGAACGCUGGCGGCAGGCCUAGCACAUGCAAGUCGAACGGUAACAGGAAGAAGCUUGCUUCUUUGCUGACGAGUGGCGGACGGGUGAGUAAUGUCUGGGAAACUGCCUGAUGGAGGGGGAUAACUACUGGAAACGGUAGCUAAUACCGCAUAACGUCGCAAGACCAAAGAGGGGGACCUUCGGGCCUCUUGCCAUCGGAUGUGCCCAGGUGGGAUUAGCUUGUUGGUGGGGUAACGGCUCACCAAGGCGACGAUCCCUAGCUGGUCUGAGAGGAUGACCAGCCACACUGGAACUGAGACACGGUCCAGACUCCUACGGGAGGCAGCAGUGGGGAAUAUUGCACAAUGGGCGCAAGCCUGAUGCAGCCAUGCCGCGUGUAUGAAGAAGGCCUUCGGGUUGUAAAGUACUUUCAGCGGGGAGGAAGGGAGUAAAGUUAAUACCUUUGCUCAUUGACGUUACCCGCAGAAGAAGCACCGGCUAACUCCGUGCCA
rnacentral:rRNA from 1 species